GGUCGGGUAGCAUAGGGGCAAUGCGCGGGAUUGCAACUCCCGCGAGGGCGGUUCGACUCCGCCCCCGACCU
rnacentral:tRNA from 1 species